rnacentral:rRNA from 1 species
AAAACUUUCAACAACGGAUCUCUUGGUUCUGGCAUCGAUGAAGAACGCAGCGAAAUGCGAUAAGUAAUGUGAAUUGCAGAAUUCAGUGAAUCAUCGAAUCUUUGAACGCACCUUGCGCCCUCCGGCAUCCCGGUGGGCACGCCUGUUCGAGCGUCAUU